AUAAGGAAAAAAAAGCUCCCGCGCGUUCAAAACCUAGGCUGCACACAGAUCGAUUUCGUCUAUCUCCUCCUCCAUAGCUUUGCACAGCCACAGCUCUAUUUCGGUGAAGUCACAGCUGCACAGCUUCGUACAGCCUGAAGAAGCUCCCCCCACUUCGUCUUCUCCAUCUGAGGAGCAUAUUUCAACCAAAACCCAGAAACCCACUUCGUCUUCUCCAGCUGCUUCCUCCAUCUCGGCAGUGGCAAACUCAACAUCAGCAACUUUCUUACGUGUUGUUGGUAGUGAGUUGAUUCAGAAGUACUUGGGGGAUGGUCCGAAAUUAGUGAGGGAACUCUUUAGGGUUGCUGAUGACCUCUCACCCUCCAUUGUCUUCAUCAACGAAAUUGAUGCAGUUGGUACAAAGAGGUAUGAUGCCCAUUCAGGUGGUGAACGUGAAAUUCAGAGGACCAUGUUGGAGUUACUAAACCAGUUAGAUGGUUUUGAUUGAAGAGGAGAUGUCAAGGUGAUCUUGGCAACAAAUAGAAUUGAGAGUCUUGACCCAGCCUUGCUUCGUCCUGGCC